rnacentral:rRNA from 1 species
AGGAGCUUGCUCCUCUGACGUUAGCGGCGGACGGGUGAGUAACACGUGGGUAACCUACCUAUAAGACUGGGAUAACUCCGGGAAACCGGGGCUAAUACCGGAUAACACAUGAAACCGCAUGGUUUCAUGAUGAAAGACGGUUUUGCUGUCACUUAUAGAUGGACCCGCGGCGUAUUAGCUAGUUGGUAAGGUAACGGCUUACCAAGGCAACGAUACGUAGCCGACCUGAGAGGGUGAUCGGCCACACUGGAACUGAGACACGGUCCAGACUCCUACGGGAGGCAGCAGUAGGGAAUCUUCCGCAAUGGGCGAAAGCCUGACGGAGCAACGCCGCGUGAGUGAUGAAGGUCUUCGGAUCGUAAAACUCUGUUAUUAGGGAAGAACAAGGAUGUAAGUAACUGUGCAUCCCUUGACGGUACCUAAUCAGAAAGCCACGGCUAACUACGUGCCAGCAGCCGCGGUAAUACGUAGGUGGCAAGCGUUAUCCGGAAUUAUUGGGCGUAAAGCGCGCGUAGGCGGUUUUUUAAGUCUGAUGUGAAAGCCCACGGCUCAACCGUGGAGGGUCAUUGGAAACUGGAAAACUUGAGUGCAGAAGAGGAAAGUGGAAUUCCAUGUGUAGCGGUGAAAUGCGCAGAGAUAUGGAGGAACACCAGUGGCGAAGGCGACUUUCUGGUCUGCAACUGACGCUGAUGUGCGAAAGCGUGGGGAUCAAACAGGAUUAGAUACCCUGGUAGUCCACGCCGUAAACGAUGAGUGCUAAGUGUUAGGGGGUUUCCGCCCCUUAGUGCUGCAGCUAACGCAUUAAGCACUCCGCCUGGGGAGUACGGCCGCAAGGCUGAAACUCAAAGGAAUUGACGGGGACCCGCACAAGCGGUGGAGCAUGUGGUUUAAUUCGAAGCAACGCGAAGAACCUUACCAAAUCUUGACAUCCUUUGACAACUCUAGAGAUAGAGCCUUCCCCUUCGGGGGACAAAGUGACAGGUGGUGCAUGGUUGUCGUCAGCUCGUGUCGUGAGAUGUUGGGUUAAGUCCCGCAACGAGCGCAACCCUUAAGCUUAGUUGCCAGCAUUAAGUUGGGCACUCUAAGUUGACUGCCGGUGACAAACCGGAGGAAGGUGGGGAUGACGUCAAAUCAUCAUGCCCCUUAUGAUUUGGGCUACACACGUGCUACAAUGGACGGUACAAAGGGCAGCGAACCCGCGAGGUCAAGCAAAUCCCAUAAAGCCGUUCUCAGUUCGGAU